CUGGGCUAGAAUGCCUCUGACAACCCUAGAGAUAGGGCUUCCUAGGGAAACCUAGGCAGAGUGCAAGGUGCUGCAUGGCUGUCGUCAGCUCGUGUCGUGAGAUGUUGGGUUAAGUCCCGCAACGAGCGCAACCCUUAUCGAUAGUCGCUAGCGGUUCGGCCGAGCACUCUAUUGAGACUGCCGUUGACAAAACGGAGGAAGGUGGGGAUGACGUCAAGUCCUCAUGGCCUUUAUGUCCAGGGCUACACACGUGCUACAAUGGCAAGUACAAAGCGCUGCAAACUCGCGAGAGGGAGCCAAUCGCAAAAAGCUUGUCUCAGUUCGGAUUGGAGUCUGCAACUCGACUCCAUGAAGUUGGAAUCGCUAGUAAUCGCAAAUCAGCAUGUUGCGGUGAAUACGUUCCC
rnacentral:rRNA from 1 species